rnacentral:rRNA from 1 species
UACGAAGGGGGCUAGCGUUGCUCGGAAUUACUGGGCGUAAAGCGCACGUAGGCGGCUCUAUAAGUCAGGGGUGAAAUCCCGGGGCUCAACCCCGGAACUGCCUUUGAUACUGGUAGUCUCGAGUCCGAGAGAGGUGAGUGGAAUUCCGAGUGUAGAGGUGAAAUUCGUAGAUAUUCGGAGGAACACCAGUGGCGAAGGCGGCUCACUGGCUCGGUACUGACGCUGAGGUGCGAAAGCGUGGGGAGCAAACAGG